rnacentral:lncRNA from 1 species
AGUUAAACCAUGUAUUUCUUUCAAUAUACACAAUAAAUUAUAGGCUAGACAGGGACUUGUUAUCCAUUUUUUUCUUCCUAUUCUCCUGCCUGCUUGCCCUAUUUUGACACCAUCACCAGAGCAUGGGAAGCUAAGGGAAAGAGGGCUGCCAUACUGAAUUCCAGACACUAUGCCUGGUUCUUUCUAUGCUCCUGGCUGCCACCUGUUGGAAAUGUUAAUGCUUGCAUAAGAAGCUAAGCCUCCUUAAGUCACUGAUUGUCAUCAGAAAACAGAGUUAUUUUGCAAUUCUCAGUGAGAUAAUUGGAUUAGAGAUGAAAAACUGAAAGGAACCUUGGGCAUCUUUAAGUCCAACACCUUCAUCUUACGACUGAAGAAACUGAAUCCUUAAGACUCACGCAAGGUCACACAGCUAGAAAUGGGAUCUCGUAGAUCAUUUUACUUUUGUGGUGAGGAGAUUGGGGUUAAGUGACUUGCCCAGAGUCACACAGCUAGUGAAUGUUAUGUGUCUGAGGCCGGAUUUGAACUUAGGUCCUCCUGGUUCCAGGGCCGGUGCUCUAUCCUCUGCACCAACUAGCUGCCUCACGUAGAUCAUUUUUAAUGAGGGAACUGAGGCUGAGAGGGGUGUAAUGACUGAGUCAGGAUUUGAACUCGGGUCUUCUGAUUCUUGGCCCAAUAUUCUAUUCACCAUGUCAUCUAGUUGCUUCAACC